rnacentral:rRNA from 1 species
CGACCCCUACGGGGGGCAGCAGUGGGGAAUAUUGCACAAUGGGCGCAAGCCUGAACGAGCAAUGCCGCGUGAACGAGGAAGGUCUUCGGAUCGUAAAGUUCUGUUGAAGGGGAAAAAGAGCGGAGAGAGGAAAUGAACUCCGAUUGAUAUUACCCUUCGAGGAAGUCACGGCUAACUACGUGCCAGCAGCCGCGGUAAUACGUAGGUGGCAAGCGUUAUCCGGAUUUAUUGGGCGUAAAGGGAACGCAGGCGGUCUUUUAAGUCUGAUGUGAAAGCCUUCGGCUUAACCGGAGUAGUGCAUUGGA